AAGGAUUAUAUUACAAUUUACUUCUACUUGAGAAAGUUGACGCAAGAUGGUGCGUGGAAAUAAUUAUAAUGAAGUUUCCAGAAAGAUGACGCUAGUGUAGCUAAAGCGAAAUUUGUAUUCAUGGCAGUACAUCCCGCGCUGUGUUAUUGACAUUCGAGAAAAAUACAGAACCACUAUACACUAUUUCCGAGCAAACCAACAUAUAAUACGUUAUAUAAGCUCAUUGGCGAUACCCUUUCGACAGCAUGAUGUUGUUUCAAGGAGAGAUAGAGCAGCUCUGUGUGUUUGCAUCGUAUGUCGCAUAGUCGGGCAAUGUUUCGGUGACAUAACCUGGAUGGUACAGUACAUAGCCACAUAACCAGUUUUAGAGGAUGACGCUCUGUUUACCAAUCAUCUUAGAGAAGACAUGGUUGUUUUGUUUGAUUAUAGUCCGAUAUCAUUCUCAAACAACGUAUCUCUAAUGCAAGAGACAAGAAACCAGACCAGGGCUUCCCCCGAAGAGAGGAAUUUAUCUUUUUAAGCCCCCAAAAAGAUGCAAGACUCCGUACGAGCAGAAACCAAUUUGAAGACUCCAUUUCGGAAGAGCACGCUUUUAGGUCAAGUGGACUCGGACACCGGAAGCUGAGCGGGUUAUCUUCGUUAUCUGGAGGGAUAAGACGAAGAUUAAGUCGAUACAUGUGGAAACUUUAUGAUCGUAUUUUGGAACUUAGGAUUUUGGAACGAGUUUGGUUUAAUUAUUUAAAAAUCUUUGCCACUAAUGUUAUCGAAAUCUUGUCAAUCAUCAAUAUUAUUUAAUUCGUAUGCUUUUUAGGGUAUUUUCAUCCCAGAUCUAGUUAUUUUUCUAUCUAGUUAAAAAAUUCUUUGAGUUUAAAAGAGACGAAGACUUGAAAGAUGGUUUCACGUUUCAUUUCAAACAAAUUUAAGGAGAUUAUUGAUAGUUUGAGGAUGAUUGAGAGUGAACAAUAUCUGAAUAUCUCACAGAUAAGAAAAUUAUACGAUUUAAUAAGUUUCUUUUGAAUAUGUUGAGAUGAUUUGAGAACAAUAAUAUGUAUUUUUUGAACAAUGGUAAGAUAAUUUAUUUAAAUUCGGAACGUAUUAUAUUUGCGAAUUUCUACACGUCCAUUAUGAGCCUCUAAUUAUCUAUGUACGAUUGUUACAUUCAGCAUUUAUUCAACGAAUGUCUCGUAUCAUGCAUAAUCAAUGACUACUUAUAUAAAUUCCAACACGUACACAUUUGAAUCAGCAACUCGUUGAAACUUUUAAUAUUUAAAAGUGUUAAUAUUUUAAUAUUAUUUCGAGGAAGUCAAGGUUAUGAUUUAAACGUUGCGUUCAAUUUAAAAAUUUAAAUUUAAGAAUUCUGUUAAUAAAAUUAUAAUUAUAAAUUGUAAUGCAUGUUAAAUUAUUAAAAAGAAUUUUUUUUUCUUUUUUUUUUUUUUUAAUAUAUAUUUCUCUUGAUUGCAAGUUUAAUGUAAUUACGAAGUCACGCAAGUUUUGUUGAACCAAUAGAAUUGUUUAAUGCAAUAUAAUUUCAAGAAUUGAAAACAAUGGAAUGAAAUGUAUGUACAAUUUUCACACAAUUUUUUUUGACCCGAUCUUAAUCUUACGAACUAUGAACUCUGGUGUUGAAUAUUUUUCUCGCUUAAUCAAGGAAAUUAAAACGCAAAUAUAUGUUUGUAAAUUGUAAAUGGUUCUCUAUGUAAAGUUUUCACACAGGAUUAAUAUUUCACGAAAUUUUAACCGAUGUUCGUGGAUUAAAUUUUCAUUUAUAUCACCAUCACGCGUUGCAUACAGAUAAAAAUAUUUAUACCUGGAAUAAAACCAUGGAUUAUAUCCUCCACCGCGUUGCAUUUUUCAAUGAAGAUUAAACACGCUUAUACAAAAGAAAAAGAUGAUGCAAUACGUUUAAAUUAAUCCUUGCACAACUCACUUAAAAGAGAUUGCUUAUUCAAAUAAGUAUCGCGAUUUAAAAAAAAAAAAGGAUCAAAUAAUUUAGGAUAAUUUAUUAUAAACAAUAAAUCGAUUUAAUUUCUCAUUAUGCGCAUAAAUAUUAACAAAUAUUGAUAAUUUUAAUAUUUUGAAAUUAAGAAAUAUAAAUAAUUUUUAUCAUAUUUCGUAUAAAUAUCCACCGACUAUCGAUCUUGACAAAACCAAUGUUCCUUCCUGUGAUUACGACCUUAACUUCCGUCAAAAAUGACGUCCAUCGCUACGUCAAUGUUGCCUGAACAUUCGCGUGACCGUACAAUAUAAUGAAUAAAAUAUCCGUUAAUCA